GUCUCGAUAGCUCAGUGGUAGAGCAUGCGAUUGCAGCUUACCUCAUAUCGCAGGGUCCGGUGUUCGAACCACCGUCGGGACU